rnacentral:rRNA from 1 species
CCUGCCCUAUGAAAAUUUAAAUGGCCGCAGUAUUUUGACUGUGCAAAGGUAGCAUAAUAAUUAGUUUUUUAAUUGAAAGCUGGAAUGAAAGGUUGAACGAAAAAAUAUCUGUCUCAAUUUAAUUUAAUUAGAAUUUUAUUUUUUAGUAAAAAAGCUAAAAUAAUUUUUAAAGACGAGAAGACCCUAUAGAGUUUUAUAUUUAUUAUUAUAUAUUUUAUAGAAUUUUUUUAUAAUUUAUAGUAUUUUAUUGGGGUGAUAAAUAAAUUUAAAUAACUUUAUUGAUUUUUUACAUUAAUAUAUGAUUAAUUGAUCCAUACAAAUGAUUAAAGAUUAAAUUACCUUAGGGAUAACAGCGUUAUUUUUUUUAAGAGUUCUUAUCGAAAAAAAAGAUUGCGACCUCGAUGUUGGAUUAAAAUUUAUUUAUGGUGUAGAAGCUAUAAUAUUAGGUCUGUUCGACCUUUAAAAUUUUACAUGAUCUGAGUUUAAACCGGUGUGAGCCAGGUUGGUUUCUAUCUUAAAAUAAUUAAAAUAUUUUAGUACGAAAGGACCAAAUAUUUGUAAUAUUUACUUAAUUUUGAAUAC